rnacentral:rRNA from 1 species
UCGAACGGUUAAGCCGGCUUCGGCCGGGAAUACAGUGGCGAACGGGUGAGUAACACGUGACCAACCUGCCCCCGCUCCGGGACAACCGCUGGAAACGGCGGCUAAUACCGGGUACUCCGCGGGCCCCGCAUGGGGCCGGCGGGAAAGCCCAGGCGGCGGGGGAUGGGGUCGCGGCCCAUUAGGUAGUAGGCGGGGUAGAGGCCCACCUAGCCGACGAUGGGUAGCCGGACUGAGAGGUCGACCGGCCACAUUGGGACUGAGAUACGGCCCAGACUCCUACGGAAGGCAGCAG